UACAGAGGAGCCAAGCGUUGUCCGGAUUGACUGGGCGUAAAGCGCACGCAGGCGGUUGCGCGCGUGGGGUGUGAAAUCUGGCCGCUUAACGGCCAGGCGCCAUCCCAUACGGCGCGACUGGAGUGAUGCAGAGGUCGAUGGAAUUGCCGGUGUAGUGGUGAAAUGCGUAGAGAUCGGCAGGAACACCCAGGGGGAAACCAGUCGACUGGGCAUCUACUGACGCUGAGGUGCGAGAGCGUGGGGAGCGAACCGG
rnacentral:rRNA from 2 species